AGUGUCCUCCAACAUGUUUUUGCCUUCCCUGGGGGGUUUCCUUACAUAUUUAUCUGUGAUAAAAAUAAUUAGAUUUUUUUAAGCCUAUAAAAGUCCUAACUACAUGCCUUUAACUACUUUUUUUUUUCCUUUUUUACUUUGUUUUAUUUUUCUUGUUUUUUAAGGAGGUAAAGUGCUGCACUGCUGGAUUGCUGUUUCCUGACUGCACUUCCAAAGGCAGUAAUUCAAACAAAGGCUUCCAAGACAGUGCCAUCUUUUCUUCUUACUCAAUAUUAUCAAACCAAACCACAAAUCUAAUUAAGCGGUCUUGAUGCCAAAAUCUCUGCUCCUGGAGAAAUGCAUCAUGCAGCACAUCUAGGUAAGUGAAUUAAAAAAGCAUCCAGGCAGGUAUCUGGUGAAUGUCUCAGUUCAUCCUUGCAUAAUAAACUAUCUUCUCCUGCUCA
rnacentral:lncRNA from 12 species